AGAUCUCAGAUUGCCUGACGAAGCCGAGAGACACACGGAAAGGAAAUACUACUUAGGUCUCCGAAAAAUGAAACUCGUAACGUUGCUGUUCCCCGUGUUGCUGAUACUCUCAGCCAUAGUGGCCAUCGCAACAGCGGAACCUUUCCACUUCAAGAAGUAUAAGAAGAAAGGUGGGGGAGGAGGCUACGGCCAUGCGCAGAUACAUUAUGUAUACGUCCCAGUAUACAUCGCCCAUCAUGGUGGGGGAUACGGUCGGAGGAUACGGCGGUGGGGGAUACGGCGGUGGUGGAUACGGCGGAGGAGGAUACGGCGGAGGAGGAUUCGGCGGGGGAGGAUAUGGUGGCGGAUACGGCGGAGGAUACGGCGGAGGAUAUGGCAAAUAAUCCUAACCCGUAAAUAAACCUUAAGAUAGAGGGGGCAUACAGCGAAGGAUAUGGUGGAGGAUACGGCGUUGAAUACUGUAGUAGCUAUGAAGGUGGAAACGUCUUAGGAUACGUCAUAGGAUUCAGAAGAAGAUACACCACAGAAUACGGUAGAGAAUACGGCAGAGGAUACGACGCUGAAUACUGCAGUAACUAUAGAGCAGGAUACGUCAGAGGAUUCAGAGGAGGAUAUAGUACAAGACAACUAGGAUACGGCAUUGAAGACAGCAGUACCCAUAGAGCAGGAUACGUUAGAUGAUUCAGAGAAGGAUACGACAUAGAAUACUAUGAUACAACGCGGGAUAUAGGGUAGGAUACGGCACAGGAUACGGAAAAUAAACCCCAAGGUGGAGACGACCUUCGUUACCUUCAAUCACCUCCUUUUGUUUAUAUAUUUUCCGCAAUUUAUUCAUUUAUUAUUUAUUAUUUUCACUGUCCAAGUUUUAUAUUCAUUUUAUUCAUGUUUCUUUUAAUAAAAAAAUUUAAAUUA